rnacentral:rRNA from 1 species
GAUAAACGCUGGCGGCGUGCAUGAGACAUGCAAGUCGAACGGACGAUCGAGGCUUGCUUCGAUCGUUAGUGGCGGACGGCUGAGUAACGCGUAGGUGACCUGCCCCGAAGUGGGGAAUAACUGCCCGAAAGGGUGGCUAAUACCGCAUGUGGUGGUGUGUUCAUUCACACCAGUAAAGCCGCAAGGCGCUUCGGGAGGGGCCUGCGUCCGAUUAGCUCGUUGGUGAGGUAACGGCUCACCAAGGCGACGAUCGGUAGGUGGUCUGAGAGGACGAUCACCCAGACUGGGACUGAGACACGGCCCAGACUCCUACGGGAGGCAGCAGUGGGGAAUAUUGCACAAUGGGCGAAAGCCUGAUGCAGCGACGCCGCGUGAGGGAUGACGGCCUUCGGGUUGUAAACCUCUUUUAUCAGGGAAGAUUAUGACGGUACCUGAUGAAUAAGUCACGGCUAACUACGUG